CGCACGGGUGAGUAACACGUAUCCAACCUGCCGUCUACUCUUGGACAGCCUUCUGAAAGGAAGAUUAAUACAAGAUGGCAUCAUGAGUCCGCAUGUUCACAUGAUUAAAGGUAUUCCGGUAGACGAUGGGGAUGCGUUCCAUUAGAUAGUAGGCGGGUAACGGCCCACCUAGUCUUCGAUGGAUAGGGGUUCUGAGAGGAAGGUCCCCCACAUUGGAACUGAGACACGGUCCAA
rnacentral:rRNA from 1 species